UAAUUAUAAAGGGAAUCAUAUUUUACCUAUCAAGCUGUCAAAGAUAAAUUGGCUUUAAUCUGGUAAAUCAAAGUAUGGACAUCUGCAUAUAUGUGAAUAUUUUCCAUAACCUUGAGAAAAAUGAUCUAUGACCUGAGGUUUUUCAAGAACAAUUAACUAGCCGCAAGGAUAAUGGAGAAAAUGAAAGUCAACAACUUGUUUUCAUUGAGUACCUGGACGUUUCAGAACGAGACUUAGGUGCAUUUAAAUUCAGUGACAAAGGCAUAAUUUAUAAAUCCUCCUUGAGAAAUAUUCUUAGAGGAAUAACUCAACCAGGGGCUAAAGAAUAAAGGAGAAAAAACAAACAGUAUGUAUUCACUACUUUACUCUUCACACUUCCCAAUUUCAUUAGUCAGGUAGAAUUUACAACCCCAUUGAUUGAUA
rnacentral:lncRNA from 1 species